rnacentral:rRNA from 1 species
AGCAGCCGCGGUAAUUCCAGCUCCAAUAGCGUAUAUUAAAGUUGUUGCAGUUAAAAAGCUCGUAGUUGAAUUUCGGGGUCAGUAGGUCGGUCGUGCCACUGGUAUGAACUGGUUUCACUGAUCCCUCCCUCCUGAAGAACUGUAAUGCCAUUAAUUUGGUGUUGCAGGGAAUCAGGACUGUUACUUUGAAAAAAUUAGAGUGUUUAAAGCAGGCUUUAGCUUGAAUACAUUAGCAUGGAAUAAUGAAAUAGGACGUUUGAUCCUAUUUUGUUGGUUUCUAGGAUUGACGUAAUGAUUAAUAGGGAUAGUUGGGGGCAUUAGUAUUCAAUUGUCAGAGGUGAAAUUCUUGGAUUUAUUGAAGACUAACUACUGCGAAAGCAUUUGCCAAGGAUGUUUUCAUUAAUCAAGAACGAAAGUUAGGGGAUCGAAGACAAUCAGGUACCGUCGUAGUCUUAACCAUAAACUAUGCC